UACGAAGGGGGCGAGCGUUGUUCGGAUUUACUGGGCGUAAAGGGCGCGCAGGCGGCUCAUUUUGUCAGGCGUGAAAGCCCCGGGCUUAACCUGGGAACUGCGCUUGAGACGGGUGGGCUAGAGAUCGGGAGAGGAGAGUGGAAUUCCCAGUGUAGAGGUGAAAUUCGUAGAUAUUGGGAAGAACACCGGUGGCGAAGGCGGCAUCCUGGACCGACACUGACGCUGAGACACGAAAAGCGUGGGGAGCAAACAGG
rnacentral:rRNA from 1 species